UACAGGGGGGGGCAAGCGUUGUUCGGAAUUACUGGGCGUAAAGGGCUCGUAGGCGGCCAACUAAGUCAGACGUGAAAUCCCUCGGCUUAACCGGGGAACUGCGUCUGAUACUGGAUGGCUUGAGUUUGGGAGAGGGAUGCGGAAUUCCAGGUGUAGCGGUGAAAUGCGUAGAUAUCUGGAGGAACACCGGUGGCGAAGGCGGCAUCCUGGACCAACACUGACACUGAGGAGCGAAAGCCAGGGGAGCAAACGGG
rnacentral:rRNA from 1 species